rnacentral:rRNA from 1 species
AUUGAACGCUGGCGGCAGGCCUAACACAUGCAAGUCGAGCGAGCGGCGGACGGGUGAGUAAUGUAUGGGGACUGCCCGAUAGAGGGGGAUAACUACUGGAAACGGUAGCUCAUACCGCAUACUAUCGGAUAACCCAUAUGGGAUUAGCUAGGAGGGGAGGUAAUGGUUCACCUAAGUGACGCUCCCUAGCUGGUCUGAGAGGAUGAUCAGCGACACGGGGAGUGAGUCACGGCCAAGACUCCUACGGAGGCAGCAGUUGGGCAUAUUGCACAAUGGGCGCAAGCCUGAUGCAGCCCUGCCGCGUGUAUGAAGAAGGCCCUAGGGUUGUAAAGUACUUUCAGGUGGGAGGCGUUACCGACAGAAGAAGCACCGGCUAACUCCGUGCCAGCCGCCGCGGUAAUUC